rnacentral:rRNA from 1 species
GAUGAACGCUGGCGGCGUGCCUAAUACAUGCAAGUCGAGCGAACAGACGAGGAGCUUGCUCCUCUGACGUUAGCGGCGGACGGGUGUGUAACACGUGGAUAACCUACCUAUAAGACUGGGAUAACUUCGGGAAACCGGAGCUAAUACCGGAUAAUAUAUUGAACCGCAUGGUUCAAUAGUGAAAGACGGUUUUGCUGUCACUUAUAGAUGGAUCCGCGCCGCAUUAGCUAGUUGGUAAGGUAACGGCUUACCAAGGCGACGAUGCGUAGCCGACCUGAGAGGGUGAUCGGCCACACUGGAACUGAGACACGGUCCAGACUCCUACGGGAGGCAGCAGUAGGGAAUCUUCCGCAAAGGGCGAAAGCCUGACGGAGCAACGCCGCGUGAGUGAUGAAGGUCUUCGGAUCGUAAAACUCUGUUAUUAGGGAAGAACAAAUGUGUAAGUAACUAUGCACGUCUUGACGGUACCUAAUCAGAAAGCCACGGCUAACUACGUG